CAGUCGAACGGCAGCACAGGAAGAGCUCUGCUCUCUGGGUGGCGAGUGGCGGACGGGUGAGGAAUACAUCGGAAUCUACUCUGUCGUGGGGGAUAACGUAGGGAAACUUACGCUAAUACCGCAUACGACCUACGGGUGAAAGCAGGGGAUCUUCGGACCUUGCGCGAUUGAAUGAGCCGAUGUCGGAUUAGCUAGUUGGCGGGGUAAAGGCCCACCAAGGCGACGAUCCGUAGCUGGUCUGAGAGGAUGAUCAGCCACACUGGAACUGAGACACGGUCCAGACUCCUACGGGAGGCAGCAGUGGGGAAUAUUGGACAAUGGGCGCAAGCCUGAUCCAGCCAUACCGCGUGGGUGAAGAAGGCCUUCGGGUUGUAAAGCCCUUUUGUUGGGAAAGAAAUCCAGCUGGCUAAUACCCGGUUGGGAUGACGGUACCCAAAGAAUAAGCACCGGCUAACUUCGUGCCAGCAGCCGCGGUAAUACGAAGGGUGCAAGCGUUACUCGGAAUUACUGGGCGUAAAGCGUGCGUAGGUGGUCGUUUAAGUCCGUUGUGAAAGCCCUGGGCUCAACCUGGGAACUGCAGUGGAUACUGGGCGACUAGAAUGUGGUAGAGGGUAGCGGAAUUCCUGGUGUAGCAGUGAAAUGCGUACAGAUCAGGAGGAGCAUCCAUGGGGAAGGCAGCUACGUGGACCAACAUUGACACUGAGGCACGAAAGCGUGGGGAGCACACAGGAUUACAUACCCUGGUGGUCCACGCCCUAGACGAUGCGAACUGUAUGUUGUGUGCAAUUUGUCACGCACUAUCAAAG
rnacentral:rRNA from 1 species